UUUGGUAUCACUCUACCUAAUGGAGGGACUCAAAGAAGGACAUGUUGUCCACAAGUACUCCUAAGUAAAGUAACGAUAUGCCUGAUCUGCCUACUGUUUGCCAACCUUCCAUUCACCACAAUGCUCUAGAUCGGGGAAAUCCAUCAGGUGUGUGUCCAAGACUUAGUUUUCUUCUUCCUUUUUAUAACCUUUAUCGAAAAUGUUUGCUCUAAUAUUUUGUGUCUCUAUUUCCUCUUUUAUGUUUGGAAGAUUUUCAAGAACAGGAAGUGAUGACUGGUUUUGGUACUCGACAACUGGACCUUACUACAGCCCCCAGUCUGAUGAAGUAUCUCAGAACAAGCAGCAGAGCUCCAGACAGUCCAGAGUUCCAGUUUUGGAGAAGCACCUAAUAAAUCAGCAGUAUUCAGAAGAGCAAAGUUCAAUUAGUUCAAAGUUUUAAGAUGUGACAGAAGCUGGUACAGAG
rnacentral:lncRNA from 1 species